GAUGAACGCUAGCGGCAGGCUUAAUACAUGCAAGUCGAGGGGCAGCGCGGGUAGCAAUACCUGGCGGCGACCGGCAAACGGGUGCGGAACACGUACGCAACCUUCCCAUAACUGGUGAAUAGCCCUCCGAAAGGAGGAGUAAUGCACCGUAACAUAACGAAGAGGCAUCUUUUUGUUAUUAUAGUAGCAAUACGGUUUUGGAUGGGCGUGCGCCUGAUUAGGUAGUUGGUGGGGUAACGGCCCACCAAGCCUGCGAUCAGUAACUGGUGUGAGAGCACGACCAGUCACACGGGCACUGAGACACGGGCCCGACUCCUACGGGAGGCAGCAGUAAGGAAUAUUGGUCAAUGGACGAAAGUCUGAACCAGCCACGCCGCGUGAAGGAUUAAGGCCCUCUGGGUUGUAAACUUCUUUUAUCUGGGACGAAAAAAGGGCAUUCUUGCUCACUUGACGGUACCAGAGGAAUAAGCACCGGCUAACUCCGUGCCAGCCGCCGCGGUAA
rnacentral:rRNA from 1 species